AUUGAACGCUGGCGGCAUGCCUUACACAUGCAAGUCGAACGGCAGCACGGGUGCUUGCCCCUGGUGGCGAGUGGCGAACGGGUGAGUAAUCCAUCGGAACAUGUCCUGUAGUGGGGGAUAGCCCGGCGAAAGCCGGAUUAAUACCGCAUACGAUCUACGGAUGAAAGCGGGGGACCUUCGGGCCUCGCGCUAUAGGGUUGGCCGAUGGCUGAUUAGCUAGUUGGUGGGGUAAAGGCCUACCAAGGCGACGAUCAGUAGCUGGUCUGAGAGGACGACCAGCCACACUGGGACUGAGACACGGCCCAGACUCCUACGGGAGGCAGCAGUGGGGAAUUUUGGACAAUGGGCGAAAGCCUGAUCCAGCAAUGCCGCGUGUGUGAAGAAGGCCUUCGGGUUGUAAAGCACUUUUGUCCGGAAAGAAAUCCUUGGCCCUAAUACGGUCGGGGGAUGACGGUACCGGAAGAAUAAGCACCGGCUAACUACGUG
rnacentral:rRNA from 1 species